UUUUUAAGUUGGAAGAAGUAUUUUUAAAAAGCAGAGCUCUGUAGUUAAAGAAAAUCCUGCAGUCAGAAUGCUUUGCUACUCCAUGUAUGGAUAUAGUGAAAACCUUUAGCCGCCUGAUAUGACUAUCGUUGACUUCUCAGUUUUAGUAUUCAGAGGCUGACCUGAACUUUGCGUGCUCUGCGUUAGAUUGCUCAACCUGUCUGCUCCACAGAAACUCACCUCGCUAACCACUGCUUGCUGCUUUCUCUUUUUGUGUUAGCCUACACCCAAAGCCACUGUCAGAUGUCAUGGAGAUGAGACUUCAGAAGCUGGAUUCUAGAGUAUAAAUGGAGAACAAUGAGAGAUGAAGACAGAGUGACAGGGUAAAUUAUGAUGGACCCUCAUGUGAUGACAAUGAAGCUGGAUUUUAUUUGUAAGACAUUAGGGAACAACUGGAGGAUGAAGAGAUGCAUCCAGAGCAAAGACGAGGUGCCUGCCUGUGAGGCCUGUCCUGCGCUGAAAGCUGCAGUUUGGGGUGCACACGUGCUUCUGGCUUUCACUUCCUGAGGAUCAUUCAUUUUGAGAAAUCCGAACAAAGGUGGAGGCCGAAGCUGCACUCUCGCUACUCUCUUCUGCUUCCUGACCACCCCGGGGUUUUUUCUUGUGGCCCUGCAUGGCAUGCCCCGCCUUGCCUCUUAUCUCUAGGACCUAAUUGGCUCACGCAAUUAUGGAGGUUGAGAAGUCACCAGAUCUGCAGUCUGAAGGCCUGAGAACCAGGAUAGCUGAUGGUGUAAGUUCCGGUCCAAGCGUGAAGGGAGGCGAAGACUGACGUCCCAGCUUGAAGACCAUCAGGACACUCAUGUCAUCAAAGUUGGAGGCAUUGAGAGACUGACUUCGGUUCCAGUUUAUCCUUGUCCUCUCCAGUUCAACAACAUCCGUCCUUCCUUAUGACCUUCUCUGCCAACUGCAGGCCCAGCCCCAGAUGCAGAAGCAGAAGGCUUCCAAAGAUUGUUUGACCAGCUCUCACAAUUGUGUAAGGUCAAACUCCUAUCAUAAAUCCCUUUUCAAGGUUAUUCAUAAUGGUUCUGUUUUCUAAUUGAUGUUGUAUACCCAUAUGUACAUAGAACCAGAGGGACAUACACAGAAAAGGGAUUUAAAUUAGGGGAUCAAUUGUUGAAGUUGGAAGUAAUAUUCUACUUUUUCAAAACUGAUGCAAGCUAAAGUGGUUAGCCAUGCUAGUUUAUUAAAAUGUGUAUAGCAAAAAACAUUUUAAAGUAGUUUUGUGUUUUCCUGGGCUUAGGAAAUAAUUAGAAAUAACAAAAGCUCAUGAAUCAGUUUUAGCUUCCAUCACUUUUUCAUAAUAGAUACUUUCUAAUUACAAAUAGUAGAGCCAGAGCUUACUUUCUGCAGAGAAAGUAGAGAAAGGGGAAGUCCAGGAUCUGUGUAGAGUCACUUUUUGGGCUCUUUUUUAUUUUUUGGUGAGGAAGAUUGGCCCUUAGCUAAUAUCUGUGCCAAUCUUCCU